rnacentral:rRNA from 1 species
UACGUAGGGGGCUAGCGUUGUCCGGAAUUAUUGGGCGUAAAGAGCUCGUAGGCGGUCUGUUACGUCGGCUGUGAAAACCUGGGGCUCAACCCCGGGCCUGCAGCCGAUACGGGCAGACUAGAAUUCGGUAGGGGAGACUGGAAUUCCUGGUGUAGCGGUGAAAUGCGCAGAUAUCAGGAGGAACACCGGUGGCGAAGGCGGGUCUCUGGGCCGAUAUUGACGCUGAGGAGCGAAAAGCGUGGGGAGCGAACAGG